rnacentral:rRNA from 1 species
UACAGGGGGGUGCAAAACGUUUGCUCGGAAUCAUUGGGCGUAAAGCGCACGUAGGCGGUCUGUUAUGUCGGAUGUGAAAGCCCUUGGCUCAACUGAGGAAGUGCAUCCGAAACUGGCAGGCUAGAGUACUAAAGAGGAUCGCGGAAUUCCCGGUGUAGAGGUGAAAUUCGUAGAUAUCAGGAGGAACACCGGUGGCGAAGGCGGGUCUCUGGGCCGAUGACUGACGCUGAGGUGCGAAAGCGUGGGGAGCAAACAGG